rnacentral:rRNA from 1 species
CCUGCCGGACCCCACUGCUAUCGGGAUAGGACUAAGACAUGCUAGUCGAGCGCCUUCCAGCCACGAAGAAGGCGCGGCACACAGCUCAGUAACACGUGGCUAACCUGCCCUCGGGACGAGAACACCCCCGGGAAACUGGGGCUAAUUCUCGAUAGGCGAAGAACUCUGGAAUGAGUCUUUACCCAAAAGACGUUUAGAUCAUGCUUCUAGGCGUCGCCCAAGGAUGGGGCCGCGACCGAUCAGGUAGUUGGUGAGGCAAUGGCUCACCAAGCCUUUAACCGGUGCGGGCCGUGGGAGCGGGAGCCCGGAGAUGGGCACUGAGACAAGGGCCCAGGCCCUACGGGGCGCAGCAGUCGCGAAAACUUUGCAAUAAGCGAAGGCUUGACAGGGCUAUCCCGAGUGCCAUCCGCUGAGGAAGGCUUUUACCCAAUCUAGUAAGCUGGGGGAAUAAGGAGAGGGCAAGUCUGGUGUCAGCCGCCGCGGUAAUACCAGCUCUCCGAGUGGUGUGGAUGUUUAUUGGGCCUAAAGCAUCCGUAGCUGGCUGAGUUAGUCCCCUGUUAAAUCCACCGAAUCAAUCGUUGGAUUGCGGGGGAUACUGCUCGGCUAGGGGACGGGAGAGGCAGACGGUAUUUCCGGGGUAAGGGUGAAAUCUUAUAAUCCCGGAAAGACCACCAGUGGCGAAGGCUGUCUGCUAGAACGCGCCCGACGGUGAGGGAUGAAAGCUGGGGUAGCGAACCGGAUUAGAUACCCGGGUAGUCCCAGCCGUAAACGAUGCAGGCUAGGUGUUUGGGCGGCCACGUGCCGCUCUAGUGCCGCAGGGAAGCUGUUAAGCCUGCCGCCUGGGGGAGUACGAUCGCAAGAUUGAAACUUAAAAGGAAUUGGCGGGGGAGCACCACAAGGGGUGAAGCUUGCGGUUUAAUUGGAUUCAACGCCCGGGAUCUUUCUAGA